rnacentral:piRNA from 1 species
CACAAGCCAGUCUCUGAGAAAGG